rnacentral:rRNA from 1 species
UAAAGAAAGUAAGAAAGGGCGUAUGGCGGAUGCCUAGGCUCACGGAGGCGAUGAAGGACGUGAUAAGCUGCGAUAAGCUUCGGGUAGGUGCAAAUAACCCUUGAUCCGAAGAUUUCCGAAUGGGACAACCUAGCCGUCUGAAGGACGGUUACUCUUAUCAAUGUAAGAGAGCUAACGCAGGGAACUGAAACAUCUUAGUACCUGCAGGAAGAGAAAAUAAACAAUGAUUCCCCCAGUAGUGGCGAGCGAACGGGGAACAGCCCAAACCGUUGACGUCGCAAGGCGCCAGCGGGGUUGUAGGACCGCGACAUUGUAUGCAAAUCGUGAACAGAACACUUUGGAAAAUGUGACCAUAGAUGGUGAUAGUCCAGUAUGUGAAGCGAAAUGCAGCAUAGCGGUAUCCUGAGUAACGCGGGACACGAGGAAUCCUGCGCGAAUCUGCCGGGACCAUCCGGUAAGGCUAAAUACUCCCGUGAGACCGAUAGCGAACGAGUACUGUGAAGGAAAGGUGAAAAGAACCCCGAGCAGGGGAGUGAAAUAGUUCCUGAAACCAUACGCCUACAAGCGGUCGGAGCAUCUUGCGAUGUGACGGCGUGCCUUUUGCAUAAUGAUCCUACGAGUUACCGUCACUGGCGAGGUUGAGUGUCACGAGACACGUAGCCGCAGUGAAAGCGAGCCUGAACAGGGCGCACAGUCAGUGGGGGUAGACGCGAAACCAAGUGAUCUACACUUGGCCAGGAUGAAGUCCCGGUAACACGGGAUGGAGGUCCGCACCA